rnacentral:piRNA from 1 species
UUGUUAGGGAUGGAAGGAAAGAAAGG